rnacentral:ncRNA from 1 species
GGCUUGAAAUGGCAAACUUAUUGAAAACUAGGGACGCAGCACCACAGGUCUAAGGCGAUGGAGCUAUGACGGCUGGGUUACCAAA